CGUGCUUCACAUGGUUUGCUUGGGCUGUUGCAAGGAGGGGCUGAGCUGAGUGAAACGAAGCCGCAGUUUUUGCCUUUUUCUGCGUGCACCUCGUGUUUUGUUUUCACAGCUGAACCCUUGCGUAUGUAUGUCCGCUUAACUGCUAAAGGUAAACAGCUUUUGACGAGUUGAUUAGCUGAUCAACAAACAAAGUUGCGAGAAACUUUCGUUGAGAAUUAAAAAAAAUAAAUUCUUGCGACGCCAGCAUGCGGACGUCAUUUACGUUGCUUGUGUGUUGCCACACGCUAGAAAUUUACGGUCCGGCGACUACGCGGUAACGUCCGCCAAAGCGGUUAGCCUUGGUCGCUGCAACGUAGCCGCACGUGCGGACGGACAGUCACACGGUGUCUUCGCAGGCGCCGUGUUUCACGUUUGCCUGAACAUAGAGAAGUGCCCUGUGGUGUGUUUUGGUGGUCACUGCGCUACGGUUUACUACCAAACAACUUGCACCGGACUUCCAUGGAGAUUGCCGAGCGGGCAGCAUUGAUUGCAUCCUGUCUGCUGCUGGUUUCGGUAGCCCUAGUGGGUGUUCUCUGGUGCGCAUGCCGACGUUCGCAACUGGGCACCACUGUCCCUGUGGCAGCCAUCACUGAGACCGUGACGCAGGCCGUUGUAAGAGCGGUCCUCUGAAAUAAGGUGGACUGGUGGUAGAAGUACAACGAGACCAUGGUGGCAUCUGUAAUCAUUGGCGUCAUCAUUGCCGUUGUGAUAUUAAUUGUGCUAGCUCUUCUUGUGAUCCUCUACCGGUACUGCCGCUCUACAGAGAAGCACACAGCCCCCGUGAAGUACAAGAAGCAUAAGAAGAGCCACGGUUACAAACGUAGCAGCUUUGGGUCCGGUUCCUACUACCCUCCUGGUGGCUGGUCUUCUGACAUUGGUCAUUCCAGCAGCGAUGAGGAAGCUGGUCGGGGUGUUGACAGCGGCCACGAAAGUGGUGGCCAUGAUAGCGGUGGACAUGAUAGCGGUGGACAUGAUAGCGGUGGACAUGAUAGUGGUGGACAUGGCAGUGGUGGCCAUGACAGUGGUUGUCAUGACAGUGGGGGUCAUGACAGUGGAGGUGGCUGCGACACUGGAGGUGGCUGCGACAGUGGAGGUGGCUGCGACAGUGGUGGAGGAGGUGACUGAGGGUCACAAGGUUUGAAAAAUUUCUUGAUUUGUCUUUCUCCUCGGCUGCUUCUCAAGUCAUCUGCUAUGCUGAAGUGAGAAAGAUGUGACCCUCUGCGUAUAUCCACAGUAACAUUGUGCUAGUUAACUAUUUGGAGACUUAGCAUGUUAAAUGUUGAAGAAUACUUUCCAACAGCACUAAUUGGAUGGGUAACUGUGCUUUGGGCUCAGCAGUUUAGUAUACGCAUUUGCAUAGCUGUUCACAUGAUACAGCCCAAAUUUUGACACUCAAGUUUUCUCUCUAGGUGACAUAACUAGACAAACUUGCCUUGUAGAGAGUGCCCGCUUCUUUCAUCUUAUUACAAACAGUACCUGUUACAAGUGGAUGCAUUUUUUUUAUGGGUCACAAAAGAUUGGCUGCCAUGGUGGACUGGUGCAUGCUUACGUACUUACCACAAAGUGACCAUAAUUGUUGCCAGACUACACAAAGGAAGCUGUAGAAUGCUGCAAAUAACAUUUCUCUAUAUGCAACUAUUGCUACUGCCACACAAAAUUGCAAUGCAUUCCAGAGUAACUUACCAUCUGUUGAAGUUUAUACCUUGCAAGUGUGCCUAAUAAUCAUAUACUCAGUACUGCCCUCUAAUAACGCAACAACUAGUGCAAAGUUGUCCGAGGCAUGAGAUGUGUGAUGCAUUUGUUUUCUAGAUGUAGGGAAUUUUACUGCAGUACUUAUUAGGGUUGCAUUCUUCUGCACUUGUGAACACCGCUUGCGGCCUGUGUUGUGUGAUCCCAUAUAUUGAACACAAGGUAUGUAGAUCAUGAAAAAAAGAGGUGUUAUUGGAAUGCUGCACGUGUGUCACGAACUGUACACUGAUGAAAAUUGCAUUGCCAUCAAAACGUCCACACAUAGCAUUAAAAACUUACAUGUGUCAAACCACAUCAUUUAACAAGCACUCUCAUCAGCCAAGUUGAUAGGGAUCCAUAACUUUGGAUAGCGCCAAUAGGGAGACAGUCAGGAGAAAAACAGUACGGAUACGAGGACCAUAUUUCUGUGUCUGGGUUCCUAUUUGGGGUGCCAAGGUUGUGGGUACAUUGUUUAACUGCUCAGUGCUCUCAUAAACAGUUCAAUUUUCAAUGCACUAAUACAUACGUAUAGAUAAACUUGUGUCUAGGAAAAAGACUAUAAAUUUAUUAACAAGAGCAUGUUUUACAUUUAAGCACUGCUCGGCAGAGUUUUUACAUUUUAAAGUUAUACUUUCCAUAUGAUGUGCGCCUAAAGUUGCAUGCAGACGUCAUGAAGAUUCAUUCCUAUGAAAUGUGCAGUGCAGAGAAGGCAUGCCACCAAUGUGUUGAGAAAUAACUCUUGCAUUUUAGUAAAAAAAAAAAUGCAUGCAUUUUUGUUGCUUCUCAAGUGAUUCCAUGUGCUUCUGGCCUCUUCUAAUGACCAAGUUCUCUCCAUAUAGAAGGCAAGUGAGCGCAAGUAAGUCGAGGUGUGACGUCGCACAUUUGUUCCAUUAAAGCUUCACAAUGUACAUCGAGACUCCUAAAGCAGUAAAAUGUCUUGCAGUAUUACCUAGAGGGAUGUCCGGUGCCACCGUCUACACAAAGUGGGAAAGCUCCAUGGGAAAACUAACACAGAACAUUCAGCUUGUCUUGAAUAUGGCAUGGCCUGAAGUGUUCCCAUGGCAGUGCAGUAAACCUUUCUUGUAAUUAAGUCUUUGUAAUAAGCCUUUGUUCUACAUCAAUACAUGUUGCAUUGACAUUUGCUCACUGGUAGCACAAAAGAUUUUAACAAAACGAGAAUGUUUUUAUUUUGACUGCUGCACCGUGAGUGCAGACUGUUCUUUCUUCGAAUUUGGUGACCUGAAUGUGGUGUACCCGACACUUGUUAUAACAGUGGACCAGAGCAAAACAAUUUGAUAUAGUAAUAAUUGCUUGUAAAAAUACAACCAAGGAAGAAUCUUAUGUGAUUGUUUUUUUUUAUAUGUACUGAACUAUCAUGACUUGUGACAACUGCUGAUUCCUAGGCAUGUUCUGAAAAGUCCUAGCUUGCCGAGAAAGAUCUGAAGUCCUCUCUAAGAAAGCACGUCCAUGUAGCAGCACCACAGUUAAUUUCAGGAACCACUGUUCUGAAAGCUGUCACUGAGUGAACUAAGGUGUGUGCAGGACCACUUGGCGUUUGUUUUAUAUACGUAGGUACAGAGAAGUGUUUAUUCAGGAGCUAGUGACAGGCAUUUUUUUUUACUUGGCUGUACUCUACCGUGCACACUCAUUUAACAUACUUGCCUAGCACUAAAUCCUAAAAUACAAUACAAUCAAGGGACAAUGUUAGUGCCUUCUGAUAGCAUGAUAUUUAAAAAUAGUGUUGAUUUCUCAUUGUUACUGUUAUUCAUACUCAAGAAAUAAAUGUUCCUGCAGGUACUUUUCAAUGUGUGGCAGUUAGGGCAGCUACUUGCCGGAAAUGUAUAUUGCUAUCUUUGCAGUUGUGGUUGAGAUGUUGAGAAAUUAGACCUGUUCACUUGUUACCGUGGGACAAAUUAAUUUGCAUAUGCAUAGUAUUGCUAUUUGGGACUGUGUUGCGAAGAGUGCAUUUGUGUUUGGAGAAUGUUGUGUUUAUCUUACUCCUACAUGGCUGCUUUGCUGAAAUGUGUCAGUGUGUCUCGCAGAAUGAAGUGAGCUGAAGUAGUAUGGUGAUGUGUUGCUCUAGUGUUCAGUUAAGCUGAUAGAUUUGUUUAUCGCGCUGUUAGGGAGGCGUUAUGGGUUUUGCCACUUGUUGCAUUUUAAUUCCUUUUAAUCUUUGCCAAGGGGAGAAACAGCCUCUUAACAACAUAUUCCGGCUUCCACGUUCCACUUUUGUUUCCCCUUCUUAUUAUGCAUAUGUUAUCAUACACAAGGCUAUUUGUUUUCUGGCAGUGUAAUCACACGUAUAGAUGUACUUGCAUACUCAUGUUUCAUCCCUUGCUAAGCCCAGUGUUUGUAUGGUGAUAGACUGUGAUGAACUGUGUAAUGUUGUGCAUCUUUACCAGGUAGCUUAAGCUGUUUAGUGCUGGCUUCAAGCUUACAUGAUUUCUAACAUUGUGACAGACCUAAGAAUACUUGUGUGUUCAAGCUUAUGCUUUUUCAUGUUAAGAUCAAACAUAAUUUAAGCGAGGAACUACGUGUUCUUUAUUUUUAGGCUCUACGUUUGUUUAUUUUCCCGUGAGGACUUGCGUGGUGCCUACUGAACUCUCUGAAAAUAGUCGCAUUAUUUAAAGAAACAGAAUGGUAUAUUUUCUUUUUUCUUUUUCAUAUUUCCAUGCAUUGAAACACCAACGCUCUUUGAAGCCAGUAAAUUAUUGGCGUAGUGUUGUGCACCUCAGGGAAUGAGCGCUAUCUUUUUCAUUCACUCAUUCAUGGUGUCAAAUAUUUUCAGUGUUACUCAUAUGCUAUUCCUGCUGUUUUGUUGCCUUUUUUGGCUGGCAAAGUUUCGGUGACAGUUUUACGUUAUACAUGAGAAGGCCUACUCACAAGUUACAUGCUUUUCGUUGUUGUCAUUGCAAUCUUGUCAUUGAUUUCAUUCAUCUGGUGUAAACGAGCGGUGUUGCUGUUGUGCACCUCUCUUUGCAUCUUGUUCUGUGUUGUUGUAACGGUCUAUUAUCUAUUUUCAGAAAUAAAUUUGCGCUGGCCGCUGA